AAUCAACGCUGGCGGCGUGCCUCAGACAUGCAAGUCGAACGAUUAAGACUCCCUUCGGGGAGUGCAUAAAGUGGCGCACGGGUGAGUAACACGUAAGUAAUCUACCUUCGAGUGGGGAAUAACGUUCGGAAACGAACGCUAAUACCGCAUAAUGCAGCGGCAUCGCAAGAUGACAGUUGUUAAAGAUUUAUCGCUUGAGGAGGAGCUUGCGGCAGAUUAGCUAGUUGGUAAGGUAAUGGCUUACCAAGGCUACGAUCUGUAACCGGUCUAAGAGGACGGUCGGUCACACUGACACUGAAUAACGGGUCAGACUCCUACGGGAGGCAGCAGUCGGGAAUUUUGGGCAAUGGGCGAAAGCCUGACCCAGCAACGCCGCGUGAAGGAUGAAGUAUUUCGGUAUGUAAACUUCGAAAGAAUAGGAAGAAUUAAUGACGGUACUAUUUAUAAGGUCCGGCUAACUACGUGCCAGCCGCCGCAGUAAGAC
rnacentral:rRNA from 1 species